CCUACGAGUGGCUGCAGUGAGGAAUAUUGGUCAAUGGGCGCGAGCCUGAACCAGCCAAGUCGCGUGAGGGAGGACGGCCCUACGGGUUGUAAACCUCUUUUGCCGGGGAGCAACGGGCGUCACGUGUGGCGCCCCUGAGAGUACCCGGAGAAAAAGCAUCGGCUAACUCCGUGCCAGCAGCCGCGGUAAUACGGGGGAUGCGAGCGUUAUCCGGAUUUAUUGGGUUUAAAGGGUGCGUAGGCGGAUCGUUAAGUCAGUGGUCAAAUUGAGGGGCUCAACCCCUUCCCGCCAUUGAAACUGGCGCUCUUGAGUGGAAGAGAAGUAGGCGGAAUGCGUGGUGUAGCGGUGAAAUGCAUAGAUAUCACGCAGAACCCCGAUUGCGAAGGCAGCAUGCCGGCUUCCGACUGACGCUGAAGCACGAAAGCGUGGGGAUCGAACAGGAUUAGAUACCCCAGUAGUC
rnacentral:rRNA from 1 species